CCUACGGGUGGCAGCAGUCGAGAAUCAUUCACAAUUGGGGAAACCCUGAUGGUGCGACGCCGCGUGGGGGAAUGAAGGUCUUCGGAUUGUAAACCCCUGUCAUGUGGGAGCAAAUUAAAAAGAUAGUACCACACGAGGAAGAGACGGCUAACUCUGUGCCAGCAGCCGCGGUAAUACAGAGGUCUCAAGCGUUGUUCGGAAUCACUGGGCGUAAAGCGUGCGUAGGCUGUUUCGUAAGUCGUGUGUGAAAGGCGCGGGCUCAACCCGCGGACGGCACAUGAUACUGCGAGACUAGAGUAAUGGAGGGGGAACCGGAAUUCUCGGUGUAGCAGUGAAAUGCGUAGAUAUCGAGAGGAACACUCGUGGCGAAGGCGGGUUCCUGGACAUUAACUGACGCUGAGGCACGAAGGCCAGGGGAGCGAAAGGGAUUAGAUACCCGAGUAGUC
rnacentral:rRNA from 1 species